rnacentral:SRP_RNA from 1 species
GUCUUUUUUAGGGCCACACUUGUGACUGAGGAUGGAGAAUCGCCUGAGUCCAGGAGUUCUGGGCUGCAGUGCCCUAUGCCAUCGGGUGUCCACACCAAGUUCGGCAUCAAUACAUUGACCUCCCGGUAGUGGGGACCAGCAGGUUGCCUACGGAGGGGUGCACUGGCCCAGGUCAGAAAAGGAGCAGGUGGAAAUUCCCGUGCCGAUCGGUAGUGGGACUGUGCCCGUGAACAGCCACUGCACUCCGGCCUGGGCAACACAGCAAGACCCCGUCUCUU